AUUGAACGCUGGCGGCAGGCUUAACACAUGCAAGUCGAACGAGUGGCGGACGGGUGAGUAAUGUAUGGGGAUUUGCCCGAUAGAGGGGGAUAACUACUGGAAACGGUGGCUAAUACCGCAUACUAUCGGAUGAACCCAUAUGGGAUUAGCUAGUAGGUUGGGUAAAGGCUCACCUAGGCGACGAUGUAUAGCUGGUCUGAGAGGAUGAUCAGCCACACUGGGACUGAGACACGGCCCAGACUCCUACGGGAGGAAGCAGUGGGGAAUAUGGGACAAUGGGCGCAAGCCUGAUGCAGCCGUGCCGCGUGUAUGAAGAAGGCCUUAGGGUUGUAAAGUACUUUCAGCGGGGAGGAGUUACCCGCAGAAGAAGCACCGGCUAACUCCGUGCCAGCAGCCGCGGUAAUUC
rnacentral:rRNA from 1 species